rnacentral:lncRNA from 1 species
CUUCUUCUCUUUCUUUUCUUUUCUUUCUUAGAGAGAGAGAGAAAAGAGGGUAAGAGAGAGAGAGAAAGCAGCUGAGAGUGAGAGAGAGGGGUCCCCCACCUCUAAUAAAGGCCAUUUUGCAUAAAAGCCCCUCAACUUUCACCCUAGUGCACUACCCUCACUGGGCAGUUUUCGCGCGGAGGGACCGGUCUCCCCGACUUGGGACCGGUCCCCGAAGGCUGCCAUUUCGAGCAGAGGGAUUUUCGCGUUCGGGAACCGGUCCUUGCCUGAGAGACCGGUCCCCGGGAGACCGGUCCUUGUCCGAGAGACCGGUUCCCGAGAGCUGCAUUCUCGGGACUUAGCCAAAUUUGGCUAAAUCUCGUCGGGCCAACGUUCGGGAACCGGUCCCUGCCCACCAGGGACCGGUCUCAUCAGAGACCUCCGCAACCCAGCCUGAUGGAACCGGUCCCUCCCUGCCAGGGACCGGUCCCCGAGAGCAUUUCUGCUCCAGUGCAGAUUUUGCACUGGUGCUCCCGCGGACCCUUCUUUAAUGCACUUUAUGCAUUAUAAUCGCCUUCGGGCUUUCCGAAGCCUACGCACUCGACGAAUAGUCGAUUCUGGUCGAAGUCUAAUCCUCGAGUUUCGAGAAUUCACUUCCUUACAUCCUUCCCACCUUAAAAGAGUUUCGUCCUCGAAACGAACUCAAUACUCCAAAACUUGAUUAGAAUUUCAAAUUCUAAAUUCAUACCUCAAUUUAGCCUUCAAACAGGCGAGGAUGAUUCGCCUUCAUCUCCUCCUCGAGCUCCCAGGUGGCUUCGCGAUCAUCAUGAUUGCUCCACCGGACUCGGACAUAAGGAAUCUCUCGACUCCUUAACUUGCGCACUUCACGAGCGGUAAUUGCCACCGGGAAUUCCUCGUAGCUCAGAUCCUCCUGAAGUUCCGGCGGCUCAUAUAGCAUUACAUGCUCGGGAUCGGGAACGUAUUUGCGAAGAUUGGAGACGUGGAAUACGUUGUGCACAUCCGCAAGCUUUGGCGGCAACGCGAGCCGAUAAGCCACCGUCCCAAUCCGCUCCAAGAUCUCAUAGGGGCCAAUGUAUCGGGGACUUAGUUUUCCCCGCACUCCAAACCGCUUUACACCCCUCAUAGGCGAGACCUUCAAGAAGACGCGGUCACCCACCGCAAACUCUAGAUCUCGCCGGCGCCUAUCCGCAUAGCUCUGUUGUCGAGAUUGCGCCGUGAGUAACCGUUUGCGAGCAAGGCGGACCUUUUCUUCCGCCUCCCGCAGCACAUCGGGGCCAAAUUCCGCGCGUUCGCCCACGUCACUCCAAUAAAUAGGAGAGCGGCACUUCCGCCCAUAAAGAGCUUCGAACGGUGCCAUCUCCACACUAGCGUGAUAACUAUUGUUGUAGGCGAACUCGGCCAUUGGCAAAUACUUACACCAGCCUCCUUUGUAGUCGAUGACACACGCUCGCAACAUAUCCUCCAGAGUCUGAAUGGUUCUUUCAGUUUGUCCGUCUGUCUGGGGAUGGAAUGCAGUACUGAAAUCGAGCCGUGUGCCAAGGGCCUCCUGCAGGCUUUUCCAGAAAUGUGAAGUAAACUUGGGGUCUCUAUCCGACACAAUCGAUUUCGGCACCCCGUGUAAUCUCACUACCUCAUCAAGAUAUACCUGCGCCAACUUAUCUCCCGCCCAGGUGGUGUGGAUCGGCAAAAAGUGUGCUGACUUGGUCAAGCGGUCCACGAUCACCCAGAUUGCGUCGUGUCCUCCUGUCGAGCGAGGUAAGCCAACGACGAAAUCCAUAGAUAUGUCUUCCCAUUUCCAAACGGGAAUAGGUAAGCUUUGAAGCUUCCCCGUUGGAAACCGGCGCUCCGCCUUUACUUGCUGACAAGUCAAGCACUUCGCCACGAAGCGCCCAAUAUCAGCCUUCAUCCCCGGCCACCAAUAGAGUGCCCUCAACUCAUGAUACAUUUUGGUGCCGCCCGGGUGAUCCGCAUAUGGAGAUCGGUGAGCUUCUUGCAGGAUCAACUCGCGAAGUUCUUCAUUUUCCGGCACGCACCACCGGUUUCGAAACCGGAGCGCACCACCGGCGUCCACACUGAAAUCGCCAUCUCGUCCUUCCUCGAUAUUGCGCCGCACCUUUUGGAGACUCGGAUCUGCAGGUUGCAAAUUUCUGAUCCUCUCCAAUAAGGUCGGUUGGAUAACGAGCGCCAUCAGCUGGGCCGGGACCUCGGGAGCGACCACUUCAAGGUCCAGCCGCUCCAUCUCCAGCCCUAGGGGUGUUUGCCGGGUAACAUCAAAGGCGAGGUUCUUCGCCGACUUCCUACUAAGUGCGUCUGCGACCACAUUUGCCUUGCCGGGGUGGUAGAGAAUGUCGACAUCAUAAUCUUUUAAUAGCUCUAGCCACCGCCUCUGUCGCAUAUUCAGCUCCUUCUGGGUAAACAGGUACUUCAGACUUUUGUGGUCGGUGUAGAUCUCGCAGUGUGCACCGUAUAGGUAGUGCCUCCACAACUUCAGCGCAAAGAUCACCGCCGCCAACUCCAAGUCAUGGAUGGGGUAAUUCUUCUCGUGGUCCUUCAGCUGACGGGAUGCAUAAGCUAUCACCCUCCCGCCUUGCAUCAGGACACACCCCAAGCCCAGAUAGGAUGCGUCGCUAUAAACCACAAAGUCCUCGCCCUGCACCGGUAAGGCGAGUAUUGGAGCCGACGUCAAUCUUUUCUUCAACUCGUUGAAGCUUCGAUCACACUCGUCGCUCCAAAUGAACUUGACGCCCUUCUGAGUCAAACCGGUAAGUGGAGUUACAAUCUUCGAAAAGCCUUCCACGAACCGUCGAUAAUAGCCCGCUAAGCCCACAAAGCUUCGGACCUCCGUGACAUUCGUCGGGCGUGGCCAAUUCUCGACCGCUUCGACUUUCCUCGGGUCAACCGAAACACCACCCUCGGAAAUUACAUGCCCUAAGAAGGCAACUUCUCGAAGCCAGAAAUCACAUUUCUUUAGCUUUGCGAAUAGCUUCUCCUCCCGAAGGAUUUGAAGCACCGUCCGCAAAUGCUCCGCGUGCUCCUCGUCGUUCCGCGAAUAGACCAAGAUGUCGUCUAUGAAGACCACGACGAAUCUAUCCAGGCACGCCUUGAACACACGGUUCAUCAGGUCCAUGAAUGCAGCCGGGGCAUUAGUGAGCCCGAAAGGCAUAACCGUGUAUUCAUAGUGUCCAUAACGCGUACGAAACGCGGUCUUCUGAAUAUCCUCCGGCUUGAUCUUUAACUGAUGAUAGCCGGACUGUAGAUCUAUCUUCGAGUACACUCGUGACCCUUGUAAUUGGUCGAACAAGUCAUCAAUUCGGGGUAACGGGUACUUAUUCUUAAUUGUGACCUUAUUCAACUCUCGAUAAUCCACGCAGAGUCGAAACGAGCCAUCCUUCUUGCGCACGAACAACACCGGCGCUCCCCACGGCGAUACACUCGGCCUGAUAAACCCUUUGUCGAGAAGAUCUUGUAACUGAUCCCUCAAUUCUCUUAACUCUGCCGGCGCCAUGCGGUAUGGGGCCUUUGAGAUCGGCGCCGUCCCGGGAAUCAAGUCUAUAACGAACUCGAUCUCCCGAUCCGGCGGCAUCCCCGAUAACUCCGUGGGAAACACAUCCGGAAAUUCCCGCACCACCGAUAAAUCUUCUAAUUUCGGCACCACCCGGUCCACCUCCACGACGGUCGCCAAAAAUGCCGCGCAACCGCCGCUGACCAACUUCCUAGCUCUCGUCGCCGAUACUGUCGCGACGAAGCAAGAACUCCGACAAGCUUGAUAAACGAACUCCUUCUGUCCGGGCUCCCGAAAAGUGAUCAAUUUAUUCUUACAAUCGAUCGUGGCGUAAUACUUCGAGAGCCAAUCCAUACCUAAAAUAACGUCGUACGCCUCCAGUUUAGUGAGUUCCAACAUCCGAAUGGGCAUUAUCCAAUCACCCACUUGCACCGGACACGACGAGCACUCCGUAUAGGUGUUAAAUGAUAACUCGGGACCCUCGACUCGCCACUUGCCACUUGCUUCUAUGGGUAUGUCAUGCAUGCGUGCAAAUGCUCUACUAAUAAAUGAAUGCGUGGCACCCGUAUCGAACAUAGCUCUGGAGCGAACUCCAUUGAUUAGAACCAUACCUGCCACAACAUCAGGCUCCUCGGCUAGGGCAGGCUCCUCGGCUUGGGCCUGAGCGGCGAAUACCCGUCCGCUCGGCGCUGAUCGAGUCACCUCCGGCUGGCGCGGCGCCAAUGCGCGUCCUGCUGACACGGGAACAUAGGGGGCCCCUCCCUGAUAAGGCGGGGGCGCUGGAGCCGAUGCGACCGACGGAGUAGACGAGGCCCUUGCCGGACAGUCACGGCUAAUAUGUCCUUCUUGUCCGCAGUUAAAGCACCGUCCUUGUCGUUGACUACACUGCGGUGCCCGAUGGCCUCGAUCUCCACAAAUAGGGCAACGCCGCGGCCCACGGCCCCACGACUGCGACCGCGGAUGCUUCGGGGGCCUCCUCGAACUCGACUGUCCACCCGAACCGCCGCCCGAUCGCUUCUUCCCCUUGUCUUGGGAUCCGGCCAACAACUCACGCUCCUCCCGCACAUGGGCAUCUCCAUGCUCUGCCCACAGCGCCUUGUUGAAGACCUCGGCGAAAGUUGUGAGCUGGAAUAGCUGCACCGCUCUAUAUAUCCAUGGCCGAAGUCCUCGCAAGAACCACUCGGCUCGAUCCGCGUCGUCCUUGACCACGUCCGGGACGCAGUCUAUAAUGUGGGAGAACUCCUGCUCGUAGUCCGCCACCGAGCGAUCUCCCUGCCUCAACUUGCGAAACCUCUCCUUCAACUUCCGCUUCUCGGUGUCGGGGAAGUAGUUUCCGAACAUCUCCUUCUUGAACUCCUCCCAGAGCAUUGGCGGAAGAUCAGAGGGUCGAUCCCGCUUCAACCGCUUCCACCACACCUUCGCCGCCUUGUCGAGGCAAUGGGUGGCGAAAGGCACCUUAUCUUUCUCCGAGGUAUAUAGGUCCUCGAAGAGAGUCUCCAUAGAGUCUACCCAAGACUCUACCACCGACGGCUCCACUUUCCCCCCUUCAAAAGUUGGUGGCUUAAACUUCAUAAACCUCAUUAAAGCCGUUAGCGCACGCUCCCGCUCCACUUCAUCGGCCGUCGUAUCAAGCGUCGCCGAACCCGAAGCUGUCGGAGGCGCACUUGUCGGCGGGGGAACCGCCGCCAUCGGAACCGCCGCUAUGCCCUCACCCUCGGCCGCUACCGGCGUGCGUGCCGAAGGUGCGGGCGGAUCGCGAUCUCCUGCCGCCGUCGCGGCCGCCGCCGCUGCCGCUUGCCGCUCCACAACUUCCUGGAGCUGCUCGAACCGAGCCUCCUGGCGCUGCAUCGCGCCCAACAUUGCAGCGACCUGCUCCCGCAGCUCCUGCACCUCCUCCGAUCUUGGCUGCUCGGGCUCCGCAGAAGGCGGUACCGGAGCAGACCUACGCGCAUAACGCCUUGGGGACAUUGCUCCUGAAAAGCAACAACUCGGUUAGUUAUCUCAAUCCGAUAACUUCCUCAACGUUCACAAAACUAAACGACUCAACAAUAAAAUCGGGCGGAAGCUCGCAAGUGCUCUAGUGUUGGACUCUUAGCGUUGCGUCGUCGGCCGCCGACACAACCACUACAAGCCAAGAACUAGUGUCACUUGUAUCCGUCUCUAUUCACAGCUAGAGAUGUGCCAUCAACUUCGACCCAAUCAAUCAACUUCCGCCACCGCCAUGGGUUCACGUUCACUCACGUCCCUAUAACCUUAGGGUUCACCAACCUAGGGUCUCCUAGGUCAUCCUAGACUCUCUCUUUACUUGCUCUUAAGUGCUCUGAUACCACUUUAUCUGUCACGCCCCGCGACCGCUACCAAUUUGGUCCGGCCCGGGCGCGUCGAACAGACGCCGAACGGACAGGACCUCCCCUGUCCGUCCAAGGCUAACCAACAGAUCGUGCAUAAGAAUUUACCCAGGAAUCAAUUCAUAAAUACACGAUCAAUAAGCACCACUAGUGCUAUAAACAAGAGCAAGAUACAAGUAUAGAAACAUAUACAAGUACAUAAGAGAGAAGAGACUAUCUAUUACAUUCAUUUGAUUUACUACAUUUAGAUACAUCUUUUACAUUCUUCCAAAAUAUAAAUACAAGCAAUCAACCCUCACCCUAUACAACAUCUACUCUCAAAUACAAAAGGGGUGACGGCUAAUGCAAGAAGAGGAGGUAGCUAAUGCGACUAGAACGCCGGGCCCUUACCGCGAUCCUCACGCUCACCGGGGACGCCCGAACUGGAACCUGUGGUAAAAUGGGGGUGAGAACUAACUUCCUUAGUUCCCAGUGGGUUCGGCCGCCGACUCCGCCGAUCUCCCCACUAGGUCCAAGCGGGCAUAAGUAGACAAUCGAUAGAUAGGUAGAUAGAUAAGGAAAGCUGUAAAUGGCGGAAAUGAAGCUACGCUACCAUGCCCAAUCAUAAGUAUAUGAAUGCAUGUCCAAUGAAAUAGGUAAGCAACUAAUCUGUUAUCAUGUCCAAGGGUGAAGCUAUUCACUCGUUCAUUAACCUCAUUUACUUGUUCAUUAAUCUCAUGGCUUACCCGAAGGCUCGCCUACAGCUCACUAGCCAUCUCGACACGUAGGGAGAAUUAACUCACACUACGGACCCGAGACCGUCUGGCGGGGCCAUAUAGGCAAUCCCUGGCGUGACCAACAUCCGGAGCGCACUACUUGUGUGGGGCUUCCAUCACAAGAUUUAACAGACCGUGAGCAUGAUCCAAUCCUCUAAGCUCGAGGAUACCCUGUCCUCUAGAGUCACAAUCAUCAUAUAGUCCAUAGGUGUCGCAUACACUAUUAACUAGAUUGUCCGUUUGUCCGCUAUCGACUAGAUGCCACUCGUUCAUAGUUUACUAUUAACUAGAUGCCACUCGUUCAUAGUUCAUCAUUUUCUCUACAUCAUAGGAUUCACAAUCUCGACCCAAUCCUUAUCAAUCCAAUAUAUCAAUUAUCCGAUGUACGCUACGAUACCAUGAAGGAAAAACAUAAGGAAAGGCAAUGCAUACUAAUCCUAUAAUGCAAUAAUACAAGAUGCAAGAUCAAAUAUACUAAGACAUAGGAGGGAGCCCGAUUGCUUCGGGAUGGACACCACCCACCUCUUGGCGAUGCCGUGAUAGUAGAAAACUCGACGUUGGGGUUCUUGUACGCCGCUUCAACUCCUCGGGGCGAAGCGAGCCCUCGAGUACCCGAUUCGGCGAUUUCUCCGCACCCGCUCGUCGGAUCGAGAAACCGACUUCGCCGACGCGUUCCGGGACCUAGCAAUUAGGUUUGCGACCUAUUAGAUUAGAUCAAAACCCUAGAUUUACCAAAAACCCAAUUCCGUGCCCUAGGAUGGCAACGGGGAAGAAAUCCGUGGUGCGAGCUUCAAUUGCGAGCUCGAACCUUCUCCCUAGUUCCAUUAGGUCCCAUUCAAACCAUAAAAACCCCAAAACCCUAGAAACACCAUUAAAGGGUUUAGAGCUUACCCCUACACAAGGUUCCUUCAAGCUUGAGGGAGAGGGAGAGAAGAAGAUAUCUUCUUCUUCUUCUUCUUCUUAGUCUUCUCUUUCUCUUUCUUCUUCUUUCUCUUCUUCUUCUCCUUCCUCUUCUUCUUCUCCUUCUUCUCUUUCUUUUCUUUUCUUUCUUAGAGAGAGAGAGAAAAGAGGGUAAGAGAGAGAGAGAAAGCAGCUGAGAGUGAGAGAGAGGGGUCCCCCACCUCUAAUAAAGGCCAUUUUGCAUAAAAGCCCCUCAACUUUCACCCUAGUGCACUACCCUCACUGGGCAGUUUUCGCGCGGAGGGACCGGUCUCCCCGACUUGGGACCGGUCCCCGAAGGCUGCCAUUUCGAGCAGAGGGAUUUUCGCGUUCGGGAACCGGUCCUUGCCUGAGAGACCGGUCCCCGGGAGACCGGUCCUUGUCCGAGAGACCGGUUCCCGAGAGCUGCAUUCUCGGGACUUAGCCAAAUUUGGCUAAGUCUCGCCAGGCCAACGUUCGGGAACCGGUCCCUGCCAAUCAGGGACCGGUCUCAUCAGAGACCUCCGCAACCCAGCCUGAUGGAACCGGUCCCUCCCUGCUAGGGACCGGUCCCCGAGAGCAUUUCUGCUCCAGUGCAGAUUUUGCACUGGUGCUCCCGCGGACCCUUCUUUAAUGCACUUUAUGCAUUAUAAUCGCCUUCGGACUUUCCGAAGCCUACACCCUCGACGAAUAGUCGAUUCUAAUCGAGGUCUAAUCCUCGAGUUUCGAGAAUUCACUUCCUUACA